rnacentral:rRNA from 1 species
AUUGAACGCUGGCGGCAGGCUUAACACAUGCAAGUCGAGCGGGGGAAGGUAGCUUGCUACCGGACCUAGCGGCGGACGGGUGAGUAAUGCUUAGGAAUCUGCCUAUUAGUGGGGGACAACAUCCCGAAAGGGAUGCUAAUACCGCAUACGUCCUACGGGAGAAAGCAGGGGAUCUUCGGACCUUGCGCUAAUAGAUGAGCCUAAGUCGGAUUAGCUAGUGGGUGGGGUAAAGGCCGACCAAGGCGACGAUCUGUAGCGGGUCUGAGAGGAUGAUACGCCACACUGGGACUGAGACACGGCCCAGACUCCUACGGGAGGUAGCAGUGGGGAAUAUUGGACAAUGGGGGGAACCCUGAUCCAGCCAUGCCGCGUGUGUGAAGAAGGCCUUAUGGUUGUAAAGCACUUUAAGCGAGGAGGAGGCUACUCUAGUUAAUACCUAGGGAUAGUGGACGUUACCCGCAGAAUAAGCACCGGCUAACUCUGUGCCAGCCGCCGCCGUAA